rnacentral:rRNA from 1 species
GAUCAUGGCUCAAGACGAACGCUGGCGGCGUGCCUAAUACAUGCAAGUAGAACGCUGAAGAGAGGAGCUUGCUCUUCUUGGAUGAGUUGCGAACGGGUGAGUAACGCGUAGGUAACCUGCCUUGUAGCGGGGGGAUAACUAUUGGAAACGAUAGCUAAUACCGCAUAACAAUGAAUGACUCAUGUCAUUUAUUUGAAAGGGGCAAUUGCUCCACUACAAGAUGGACCUGCGUUG